GAUAACACUAUGUCAGGAGUUCAUGUUAAUAUGAUAGGAGUUCAUGUUAAUAUGAUAACACAGUGACAGGAGUUCAUGUUAAUCUGAUAACACUAUGACAGUAGUUCAUGUUAAUAUGUUAAUGUGAUAACACUAUGACAGAAGUUCAUGCUAAUAUGAUACGAGUUCAUGUUAAUAUGAUAACACUAUGACAGUAGUUCAUGUUAAUAUGAUAACACUAUGACAGGAGUUCAUGUUAAUAUGAUAACACUAUGACAGGAAUUCAUGUUAAUAUGAUAACACUAUGACAGGAGUUAAUGCUAAUAUGAUACGAGUUCAUGUUAAUAUGAUAACACUAUGACAGUAGUUCAUGUUAAUAUGUUAAUGUGUUAACCCUAUGACAGGAGUUAAUGUUAAUAUGAUAACACUAUGACAGUAGUUCAUGUUAAUAUGAUAACACUAUGACAGGAGUUCAUGUUAAUAUGAUAACACUAUGACAGGAGUUAAUGUUAAUAUAAUAACACUAUGACAUGAGUUAAUGUUAAUAUGAUAACACUAUGACAGGAGUUAGUAUUAAUAUAAUAACACCAUAGAGAUAAUGUUAAUAUGUUAACCCUAUAGAGUUCAUGUUAAUAUGAUAACACUAUGACAGGAGUUCAUGGUGAUAUGAUAACACUAUGACAGGAGAAUGUAAAUAUGUUAACCCUAGAGUUAAUGUUAAUAUGAUAACACUAUGAUAGGAGUUCAUGUAAAUAUGUUAACCCUAUAGAGUUCAUGUUAAUAUGAUAACACUAUGACAGUAGUUCAUGUUAAUAUGAUAACACUAUGACAGAAGUUAAUGUUGAUAUGAUAACACUAUGACAGUAGUUCAUGUUAAUAUGAUAACACUAUGACAGGAGUUAAUGUUGAUAUGAUAACACUAUGACAGGAGUUCAUGCUAAUAUGACAGGAGUUAAUGUUAAUAUGAUAACACAAUGUCAGAAGUUAAUGUUAAUAUGAUAACACAAUGUUAGGAGUUAUUGUUAAUAUGUUAACCCUUAUGACAGGAGUUCAUGCUAAUAUGAUAACACAACGUCAGAAGUUAUUGUUAAUAUGAUAACCCUAUGACAGGAGACUGGUUCGUUGGCAGCUAGUCUGCUCACAGUUACAGCAUCCUAAACAGUUACAGCAUCCUAAACCUUUCAAUGUGUACGGCCAUCAUGCAGCUGCUGUUGCUCUCCCUUUGGACUCCGUAGGGGCUGAAAUAACCUUUUAUGUGAAGCCAAACUAUAUGGCUUCACAUAAAUGAAUAUAUACUGAAGAAAAACAUAAAUGCACAUGCAACAAUUUCAAACAUUUUACUUAGUUACAGUUCAUAUAAGGAAAUCAGUUAAUUGAAAUAUAUGCAUUAGGCCCUAAUCUAUGGAUUUCACAUGAUUGGGAAUACUGAUAUGCAUCUGAUGCUCACAGAUACCUUAACAUAAAAGUAGGGGAGGGGAUCAGAAAACCAGUCAGUAUUUGGUGUGGCCACCAUUUGCCUCAUGCAGCAGGACACAUCUCCUUUGCAUAGAGUUGAUCAAGCUGUUUAUUGUGGCCUGUAGAAUGUUGUCCCACUCCUCUUCAAUGGCUGUGCGAAGUUGCUGGAUAUCGUAUACGUCGAUCCAGAGCAUCCCAAACAUGCUCAAUGGGUGACAUGUCUGGUGAGUAUGCAGGCCAUGGAAGAACUGGGACAUUUUCAGCUUCCAGGAAUUGUGUACAGAUCCUUGCGACAUGGGGCCGUGCAUUAUCAGGCUGCAACGUGAGGUUAUGGCGGCAGAUGAAUGGCAUGACAAUUGGCCUCAGGAUCUCGUCAUGGCAUCUCUGUGCAUUCGGAUAAAAUGCAAUUGUGUUCGUUGUCUGUAGCUUAUGCCUGCCCAAACCAUAACCUCACCGCCACCAUGGGGCACUCUGUUCACAACAUUGACAUCAGCAAACCGCUCGUCAACACAACGCCAUACACUUCCACCUGCCCGGUACUGUUGAAACCGGGAUUCAUCCGUGAAGAGCACACUUCUCCAGCAUGCCAGUGGCCAUCGAAGGUGAGCAUUUGCCUACUGAAGUCAGUUACAACCUCGAACUGCAGUCAGGUCAAGACCCUUGAGAGGACGACGAGCAUGCAGGUGAGCUUCCACGAGACAGUUUCUGACAGUUUAAGCAGAAAUUCUUCAGUUGUGCAAACCCAGUUUCAUCAGCUGACCUGGUGGUUGGUCUCAGACGAUCCCGCAGGUGAAGAAACCGGAUGUGGAGGUCCUGGACUGGCGUGGUUACAUGUGGUCAGCGGUUGUGAGGCCGGUUGGACGUACUGCUAAAUGUUCUAAAACGACGUUGAAGGAAGCUUAUGGUAGUGAAAUUAACAUUCAAUUCUCUGGCAAGUUAUCUGGUGGACAUUCCUCCAGUCAGCAUGUCAAUUGCAAGCUCCCUCAAAACUUGUGACAUAUGUGUCACAAAACUGCACAUUUUAGAGUGGCCUUUUAUUGUCCCCAGCACAAGGUGCACCGGUGUAAUGAUCAUGCUGUUUAGUCAGCUUCUUGAUAUGCCACACCUGUCAGGUGGAUGGAUUAUCUUGGAGAAAUGCUCACUAACAGAUGUACAAAAAAAAAAAAAAAUUGAGCAAAUGGAACAUUUCUGGGAUCUUUCAUUUGAACAGAUGGCACCAAACACUUUACAUGGUGCAUUUAUAUUUGUGUUCAGUGUAGAUCCAUCUUUUUUCAUGGAGGUUAUUACAGGGAGCACAGAUAUUGUAGGUUUCUGUUAUCAAGGGAGAGGUGAGAUAUGGAGAGAAUAGAGAUGACACAUGGGGACUGGUGGAGACGCGUUUCAUGGUGAGCUUUGUGAGUUUGAAAUUCUAAUGAAAAAGCAUCUGUAUCUGAUAUGAAUGGAGUUGUGAUGUGUUUGUCUGUGUGGAGUUGCGGUAUUUGUAUGACAUUCCAGCAUAGCCUACACGUGUGUGGGUUUUCAUUUCUGACCUGAGCCAAACUCUGGAGGGGGGGGUGGGGUUUAUUGGAGCUAGAGGUAAUGAAACAAUGUGGCGUAUGUAUGGAAGUCAAUAAAAACAAAACAUCGGUGGUA
ensembl:lncRNA